GAAAGACUUUGUUGGUCUCAACCUGAAAGUGAAAACAAAAUUGAUGCAUUCUAAACCUGAUCUUUCUCUGCACAAAGUAAUUAUAGGGAUAUUGCUAUUGAACUUGCUAGUUUUUAUUGCAACAAUAUUUCAAUAACUACACCAUAGCAAUAUAGCACAUAUUCCAGGAUUCUAAUAUUUUCAAAUCCCACAGUUUAGAACUUCGACUUCUUUAUUGUUCACAUAAACUGCAAACCAGAAAAUGCUGUCAAUCCCACGGCAACUUAACAUAAUGAAAUCAUAAAUUUUGCAAUAGGCAAAGAGAUACUGUAUGCCCCUCUCCCCUUAAGCCAGCAUAUAAGGGGUUUAUUUUAUAUUAGACCAAUCCUAAUAUGAUCUUCUCUACAUCAGAGAAAAUUUAACUACUCUAAAAGAAAUACCAAUAUUGGUGAAAAUACGUGAUCUAACUUUUAAAAAUAAAACAAAAAAUAAUUAUUGGAUGAAUGCUUCAACCAUAGGAAAGCUAGUUUUUGUAUUAGAUGGUGGGACAAUUAUUUCAAGCUGCGCUUCAUGAUCAA
rnacentral:misc_RNA from 1 species